UGCCCCAAGUGGAGGCAGCAGCAGCAGCAGGAGGGAGGUGUCGGGGCAGUGGGGCCGCAGGGCCAGUCCUCAGGUUGGUUACUCAGUUGUCCUCCCUGGUCUGUCCUCAAGGCGUGAUUUGGGCUGGGGUUCUGGCUGCCGUCCAGCCCUCCCUGGUUGCUGUGAGCCUGGCUCUCUAGCCAGCCCUAGAAGUCCGUGAGUUAGUUCUCUGUUGCUUGCAACCAAGAACCCUGACAGGAAAGAAAACUGGCUCAGAGAGGCUGAGUAACCUGCUCAAGAUGACACAGCUUGUGGGUGGCUGAGUUGGCCUUCCAACCCAGAUUCCUGUCAUGUUCCUCAAGCCGACAGCACAUUCCUCCACUUGAAUGCUACAUCUUACACCCACAGAUGUGAAUGUCGUGUGAUGUUGGCUUUCCAGUGUCUUGCAUGGCGUGGUAGCAGCAGAAAUGAGCUUGGCUGGGCACCCUCUCUGGGCCUUGGAGGCAAGCCUGGGCUCCUCUGAAAAUACAGGCAGCUUCCUUUCCCUGACUUGCCUGGAGGAGCCAGGCCCUGUGGUGCGGUCUGGCUCUGAGGCCUGUGGUCCUGCUUGGGACUGGCAGUCUUAGGCUGAGGGAACAUUUUCCAGAGUAUAGCCGAGGGACAGAAUGUCUCAGUAAGACGGGCUCGGAGGGGAAGUGUUUUGGAAAGGCCUCUGCUUGCUCUGGGAGGCGUUCAGGAUGCUGAGGUUUUGGAAAUCUAUGGCGGCUCUUCACAACUGCUCCCAGCUUUGGGAGGAGGAAUAGACGGGUGCUCGUUUCCUCGGGUUCAGUGGCAAAGGUGAAGACCAGCACUGCCGACCUGGGACCUGGGCCUCUCCCGGGCCUGGGGAGGACACUGGACUUUGAAGGGGAAUGCAGCCUAGAAGGCCUGGACCCUGGAGUCAGGAGAUGCUGCUCCCAUCCAGUAAGCCCUGGCUGGAGCUCUUCUGGGCACCAACCCUGGCAUAAAACCAGUGGGGCCUCUGGGCCUGCACUCAACAGUGCCUCUGAUGGAGCAGGUUCAGCUUGGUUGUGACCUCUGCUAGAAGCCCUCCCUGGCCUCCCUGUGCACUGAGCUGGUGGUUCCUCCUUUGCGCCCCAGGUACAUGCUCAGAUCUGUGUACCCUACACUUUGUCCUCCAGCUUCGUGUUUGGAUGUUCACAACUCCCAUGAGAAGGGCCCCCGAGAGCUGGCACAGUGCAUGUGUUUCCUCUCCAGACUUCUACAAACCUGGCACAUAAUUGUUUGCUGAAAGAUGGCAUGUUCCUAAAACAGAGGAAGUAGAACCGAAUAAAGCGAAAUCCAACUUCCC
rnacentral:lncRNA from 1 species